rnacentral:rRNA from 1 species
CCUACGGGAGGCAGCAGUGAGGAAUAUUGGUCAAUGGGCGGAAGCCUGAACCAGCCAAGUAGCGUGCGGGAUGAAGGCCCUACGGGUCGUAAACCGCUUUUGCACGGGGAUAACACCCUCCACUUGUGGAGGUCUGCAGGUACCGUGCGAAUAAGGGCCGGCUAAUUCCGUGCCAGCAGCCGCGGUAAUACGGAAGGCCCGAGCGUUAUCCGGAUUCAUUGGGCGUAAGGGGAACGUAGGCGGGCGUUCAAGUCAGCUGUAAAAGCGCGCGGCUCAACCGCGCCCCGCAGUUGAAACUGGACGCCUUGAGUGCACAACAGGCAGGCGGAAUUCGUGGUGUAGCGGUGAAAUGCAUAGAUAUCACGAGGAACCCCGAUUGCGAAGGCAGCCUGCCGGGGUGCGACUGACGCUGAGGCUCGAAGGUGCGGGUAUCAAACAGGAUUAGAUACCCGAGUAGUC